rnacentral:pre_miRNA from 1 species
CGUCUCACAAAGUGGCUGUUGUAUGUUCUUUAAAGAUAUGUUAAUCAUAUCACAGCCAGCUUUGAUGGGCGGAG